CUGAGGGUAAUAAAGCGCCUCCCGCCGCUGCCUGCCACCCACUGCCCGCCGCCUGCCACCUGGGGGAGAGGCCCAGAGUGAUUGAAACCAGCAGCCCCUGCCAGCCGCCAGCCCCCCGGAGAGUGAGGAGCUUUUCUCCAGGUGGAGGCCGGGGCCCAGGACCGUGGCCGGAAAGUUCACUGCCUCCAAAGUAAAAGCUCUGGCGGAAGAAGAGCAGAGAACACAGCUCCGUGCUCGUACACCUGUGGGGAAGAGGAUUCUCUGUGUGAGGAAGGAACCCGCCAGCAGCGCCCCGAGCCAGGACGCCCAGGGAGGUGACCCUGACGUCCCCACCCGGCUUGGUCCUCCGCUAGAGCUUCAGCUGCUCUUCCUGCGUUAAAUCUGCAUCACGGUCGUCCUGCAAGGCAGACAUCACCACAGCAAGUAGAGCGUUCUGACCUGGGUGGAGUGACCCCGACCUUUGUACCAGACCCAUGAGGUCAAGGUCAAAGUGCUUUUGGGGAAAUAAAUCAUAUAACCUUUAUUUUAAUGACA
rnacentral:lncRNA from 12 species